CAGGACUCUGGUAUUACAUUACAGCUGCUGCCUGGUUAUACAUCCGUGUGAAUAGGAGGAAAUAAAUACACGUGAAGAAAUACCAGAAGGACCAAAAAAUGGGGCCCAACAUUGGCAAUUUCUUGUUUGGGUCUUGGGGUGGGUGAAGCAUUGGCACUUGGACCUGACCAACCAUGGAAGCAUCUCGUCUCAAUCUGAGAGGAGGGAAGAAAUGCAACCUCUGGAGCAUGCCCAGGCUCUGGGCCCUGGGAACUUGGCAGGCUGCUGGAGAGGUCAGAAAGAGCCUGGGGCAGAAAGCUUCACUCUGAGAUGGAAGUGAAUGUGGAUGAGGAAUUCUAGAUGAGGAGCAUUUGAUACUGAUUGAAGAUGCCAGAAUGACACCUCUCCUCCAGAGGAUGCUUUGCACAGCUGCAGGGUGAAUUUCUUCCCAUUCACAGCGGUCGGAGCGGACCCAGAGGAGAUGGAGGCGAGGUCAACCACUGUGCUUUGCCGCAUCCUUUCUGUCGGAGGAGACAUCUGCUAAAACCAGCUGUGGCAGCGGCUUGUGAGUGAUGGAAGGCUGGACUCAAGACUGCAAUUCAGCUCAUUAAAAGCACCCCGGGGGCUGCUAUGGUUAUUUGCCCCCUGUAGUGCUGGCAUUUUUCAGGCCAGGUCAGAACUCAUUGCUCCAGGCUCUGCGCUCUCUCCAGGCUCUCCCCAUCCUUUGUCCGAAGGCACGUCUUUAGUCUGUUCCUCGUUUUAUCCACCACCUCGAAGGCAGAGACCUGUGUCUGAGCAGACUCCCAUCCCCUGCCCUGAACAAAUGUGGUCAGCGUGAAACGAAGCCCAGAGCGGCAGCGCGUUCCCCUGUGAGCAGACGGAAAGUUUCAAAGGCACAAAGGGUAUUUAGGCACUGACUUCAAAGUCAGUAAGUUGGAUGCUGAAAAAAAAUCUCCCCCGUAGCCUUUAUGUCAUGCCACUUAAUAAGUAAUUAAAAG
ensembl:lncRNA